CCUCCUCCGUGUGCAAAGAGCCUGAGAACAUUCUGUCUUCAAGGAAAUGCUCUCCAGAUUGCUCACCGUCCAUUAAGGAGCCGGAGAGCGUUAAAUAAUUUCACCUGAAUCUGAAGUGCCCGAUGAGCAGGAUAAAGCUCCUGCGGACACGGCUCCUACCCGCGCUGCCCUCCUCUGGACGAGGUGUCCCUCACAGGUGCUCGCCUGACCCCGGGACAUGGCACCUCGUGAGAUGUUCAAUGAUCCUUGGUUUAAAGAGCAGGAGUCGGGGCGCCUGGGGGCUCAGUUGGCUGAGUGUCUGGCUUCAGCUCAGGUCGUGAUCUCACAGUUCA